UACGUAGGGUGCAAGCGUUGUCCGGAAUUAUUGGGCGUAAAGAGCUCGUAGGCGGUUUGUCGCGUCUGCUGUGAAAACUCGGGGCUUAACCCCGGGCCUGCAGUGGGUACGGGCAGACUAGAGUGCGGUAGGGGAGACUGGAAUUCCUGGUGUAGCGGUGAAAUGCGCAGAUAUCAGGAGGAACACCAGAUGCGAAGGCGGGUCACUGGGCUGAUACUGACGCUAAAGCGCGAAAGCCAGGGGAGCGAACGGG
rnacentral:rRNA from 1 species